CAGCGGGGUUUUUGCCCGUCUGCCCAAUGGUGAAAUUAGGGAAGGGAGAAGGAAGAUAGGAGAUGGGUAAAUUCUUUGUUGAUCCUUCAAGCUCCUGAUUACAUCUAUUAUAUAGGCAUAUAGCCUUAUCUCUAUCUCUAAGAAAUCAAAUCCCUGAUUCUAGUCUUUCCAUAUAACUAACCAAAUCUUUAUCCUACACUUUCCUAACUGCCUGGAGGAUCUGGCGCCUGUGUGCGGGACCGGCGCUGGUAAUUUCAUCCCCACAUAACAGGGAGCUUCAUCUUUGGUCAGUUGUUUGCAGGAUGAAGCAUCACCACGGGAGCACCCAUCUUCUCACCUUCAAAUUUCAAAAGAAAAUUUAGUCAACAAAACCAUGCUACGAGGCCUUGCACCAUCAGAACGCGGUCUUGGGGGCACUAUUAAGCAUCCCAUCAGCUUCCCACCCCUCCAUCCCUGAAACAUAUUCACCCCAUCCCCCUAAAAGAUUCUCUUCCUCUUCCAUUAGCUCCCCAACUAAUAAGUAAUCCUAUUUGCUCACUACUGUUCAAGUGCCUGAACACAGAACAUGGAUAGUAAUUUCAGGGCCUAAACUAUAGCACAUAACAAAAUCUCUAUUAAGGCAACUGUACAGUGGCAUUUCUAUGAUUAACCCAUAAAGAAAGCAUACUAGAUAAACUCUAUUAAGGCACAUAACAAAAUCUCUAUUAAGGCAACUGUACAGUGGCAUUUCUAUGAUUAACCCAUAAAGAAAGCAUACUAGAUAAACUCGGGAAAGCCAGCAAGUACCUGUUUUCUGCCCACCUGAUGGCGUUGCAAUCUUUGCUUUCUUAUUAUAAGCAGAAGUCUUUAACACAGUUUCAGCCACUCUCUUGCCAGUCUCAGGCUGCAAUGAACAAACAAUCGAACCACACAGGAGUCACGUGAGGGUACAACACAUGUACGCGGAUCCCAGGAAACUCUCAUCUUUCCAGGCUACAAUGAAAGGACUAACAAACACGACUCACAUGAGGCUGUUUCUUCCCAUACCCUGCACACGUGGACACAGAACCCAGCAACUCACAUAGGCACCAGAAUCAUCUGAUGUUCUAGAUACAAAUAGAAACAAGUAACAACUACCAAAUACACACCUAAAGAGUUUUGUGUUCCUACCCUUCAACCAUUUCAUCAAUGGAAGGAUAAGUCAGUUGCCAAUUAUUCAAUAGAGCAAAUUACUCUAUUGCAACAAACGUACAUGAUGUCCCGAGUUUUCAAUUAGAUACAAAUUUUGUAAACCACCUUCAACAAAACCCCACCCCCCAACACACACACCCCUAAAUCUCAGGGAGACAGGGCCAAGCUCACGCCACACCAAUCGCAAGGGGUCACAUGUUGAUAGGGCCAAGCCCAUGCCAUGCCCCACUGCACCCUCAUCCAGUGAAAUCGGGACAAGCAUCCACUAUGGUCACCAUUAACCACACGCCACACAAUCAUUGUCCUUCGGCUCCCAUCCUAUGUGACGUCGCAGCAGCCAACCACCCGAAGCUCUGCCUCGUCGCUAUCACCAUGAUCUAAGACUUUUCUAAGGGAACCUCCCUCUAAGAAUAUCGUGAGGAGGUGAAGCGCCAAGCCUUCCUCAAGCUCAUCGACUACGUCUAGGGCCACUUACUCACCAGCAACGCUCCUGCCUACCUGCCCACCUCCCAAAAAAAAUUCACAGGACAAGUAAAGGAGAAGACGUGAUUGUGUGCUACAUGUGAUGCGAUUGUGUGAUGGUGGCCAGGGGUGCCACGUCAUCAAACCACGCUCUAAUACCACUUUGGACCUGAUCAUAAUUCAUAACAAAACGUAGCACUUCAGACCUAAUCAUACAAAACAGCAAUGCAACUUCAUUUUCUAAGAUGCUAUUCCACACUCCCAAUUUCACAUAUCUAAGAGGAUGGGAGAAGAUAAAUGAUUUGGUCAUCAAUAAACUUACAUGGAUAUCAUCAGAUGAGUCAUCAUCACUCUCAUCCACGUCACUGUCAAC
rnacentral:lncRNA from 1 species